CCAGGCUUUCGAGCCGAAGUUCUGUGAUACACUUGGGCUGUGCUGUCAAGGAAGUCAGUGCAAAACAGAACUUUGGUUGGAGAGCCGCG
ensembl:miRNA pma-mir-152b pma-mir-152b